AUAUCAGUAGCUCAACGGUAGAGCUUUCGCCUCAUAUGCGAAAAGACCCGAGUUCGGCCCCCGGCUGAUCCA
rnacentral:tRNA from 1 species